CGCGUAGGCGGCCUGGUAAGUCAGAUGUGAAAGCCCGGGGCUUAACCCCGGAAGUGCAUUUGAUACUGUCAGGCUUGAGUAUGGGAGAGGGAAGUGGAAUUCCUGGUGCAGAGGUGAAAUUCGUAGAUAUCAGGAGGAACACCGGUGGCGAAGGCGACUUCCUGGACAAUUACUGACGAUGAGGCGCGAAGGCGUGGGGAGCAAACAGGAUUAGAUACCCUGGUAGUCC
rnacentral:rRNA from 1 species